rnacentral:rRNA from 1 species
GAUGAACGCUAGCUACAGGCUUAACACAUGCAAGUCGAGGGGUAACGAGAGGAAAGCUUGCUUUCCUUGUCGACGACCGGCGCACGGGUGAGUAACGCGUAUCCAACCUGCCCCCAACUAGGGAAUAACCUUGCGAAAGUAAGACUAAUACCCUAUAAUUUCCUCAGAUGACAUCUGACGAGGAAUAAAGAUUUAUCGGUUGUGGAUGGGGAUGCGUCUGAUUAGCUUGUUGGCGGGGUAACGGCCCACCAAGGAAACGAUCAGUGGGGGUUCUGAGAGGAGAGUCCCCCACAUUGGAACUGAGACAGGGUCCAAACUCCUACGGGAGGCAGCAGUGGGGAAUAUUGGUCAAUGGGCGGAAGCCUGAACCAGCCAAGUAGCGUGCAGGAUGACGGCCCUAUGGGUUGUAAACUGCUUUUAUACAGGAAUAAAGUUAGCCACGUGUGGUUAUUUGUAGGUACUGUAUGAAUAGGGACCGGCUAAUUCCGUGCCAGCAGCCGCCGUAA